CCCCUGACGCUAGUAACUUGAAAACAGUGUUCCCCCAUUACCACACUCAAAAAGCUGUCCCAAACUAUGUAUGUAGGUAUGCGAGUUGUAUGUAGAGUUUAAUCAAACAAGUUUAGUAGGUAUGGAGAAGGUAACUUUUCACGAGAGGACUGUCACUAGAGUGCCUGCAAGCAUCAAUUUAGGCAUCUUUGUGUUACAGUAUUAUUUGUGAACAUCGUGGUCUCUUCGGUUUUUUGUAAAUAUUUGUUAAAUGUAAUCUCUUCUUGCAUUUUUAUACAUUUGAAAGAAAAUGUAUCUCUUAACUUGAUACAUGCUAAAUACCUUGUAUACAUUAUUAACUUGCGUCUAACAUUUUGGAACCAAUUAGGAUGUAUAAGUCCGGAACCCCACUGUAUUUGAGCGUUUCAGGCCCGCGCCGAUAAGAGUACAAAUAAAUAAAUAACGAUGUAAGAUACAAUAAUAAAAUAGUAUACAAAAAGAAUAAAUAUAAUAAUAAAAUAGCACAACAAUUGGUAUAAAAUAGAAAAAUAGGAAAAAAUAAUUAUUCCGAAUAGGCUAUAAAAAUAUAAACAAAUAGUCAUCUUGAAGAACACCACAUUUACGUAAGUUAAAUAUUAUAUUCAAUUUAUAUUUUACAUUUGUAAAAUUAAUAUGCUAAACAGUUUAUUAUGAAAUUGUACAACUUUACAUUCAAAAAUAUUUAUAAAAUUGAAUCUUCGAAUGAUAAUUAAUAAAUUUUUAUGCGAUUAGUGAUUAGGUUAAAUAUUUUUAAUGUAGAAUUCAAUUUAAGCACAAUGGAUACUUAAAUGAGAUAAAUGAGCACAUUCUUUAUAAAUAUUAAUUUUCUUUAUCAUUUAAGUAUGCUGGAUUAUCAUACUCAUAAUUUCUUGUUUUAUUUGUGUUUUUUGAAUUAAAAUUUGAUGCUUCACCAUUUUCACUAUCAGUAUAAAUAAUAUCUAGAGGUAACCUUUUCUUACGUUUUUUUAUAAUUGUAGAACGAUGAUUUUCAAAUGCUUCUAAUGCAUUUUUUGGUACAUUUGGAGAUAUCACAUUAGAGAAACCUAAGACAAUGAGAUAAGACAUAAAAUAAACAUUUUAAAUAUAAUAAAGUAUAAUAAACAAUUACAAAUUCAUACCAGAUCUAGCGUUUUCUCUCAGUUUUCUAUUAAAAAGUAUUUCAAAAUUAGUAGAAAUCUUUGAAGAACUUUGAUCGUCUUUCAUUAAUUCGUGAAUAGUUUUCUGUGUUUUUGAAUAAUACAUUUCAUUAUCUGUCAUAGAAUGUACUGUUUCAUUUUCUACUGCACUUUGAAGUCCUUCUAUUAUGUUUAAUGCAUAUUCAGUAGUAAUUAAAUUAUCCGAUUCAUCUUUUGCCUGAAAAAUAAUAUAUAUUUUUGAGUAUAAAAAUUUAUGAUUUUUAAAUAAUUAUGACAAAUAGUUACAAUACAGAAUAAUAAAUAUAAGUUUAUAAUAUAUUAUAUUACUUUGCAAGGAAAAGGUAAAUUUAAUUUCACAUUAGCGAUAAUGUGAGUAAAUGUGUGCAAUCUGUGAACCAACAUUGCUAAAAAUUGAAUGGUUAAAAUAGUAACAAAUGCAAUAAUAAAAAGACAUCCUAUAGGCUCCAAACGCAUGUAUUCCCUUGUUACGUAAACCUGAAAAAUGUAAAUUGUAUUAACUUUGUAUUAAACUAUAUUAAUUGUCUAUAUCAUAGUAUUGAUUUAUAUUGAAAAAGUGAAAAACUUACUUGCAUUCUUCCUUCGUCAUAAGUUAUAUUAUAUUUAACAGCGAAAGGCCAUGGUAAGUUUAAAACAUCUUUAUUAAUUUGUAAUAAGAAAAUUGCUACUACAAAUAAAGUAUUUAUGGUAAAGAAUUUUAGAAGGCUCUCAGUUCGUAUCUUCAUUAAUCCUUUUUUAAUUAUUUUCUAAAAAAAAAUAUAAUAUUUAUAAAACAAACAUGAUAGAUAAUAUUCUAAUUUAAUGACUAAUUUUUUAAGAAUUCAUACUUCUUUCUCUUCAUCCUUUUCAAUAGGAUGUAAAUAUUUUGCAAUUAAUUGUUUCCAGAAUUGCUCUUCUGUUGUAGAUAGAAAAUCUACUUUCCCAUGUUGCAUAUGUUUACUUUGAAGCCAAUUAGGAUUUAUUAAAUAAGUGGAAUAUUCAUUGCAAACAUUAGUAAAUGAUUGUACUGAAUUUUCACUUUCUGAAUCUUCACUUAUGUAUAAAUCAUCUUUAAUAGUUUGUAAAUCAGUUUCAGCAACAUAUCCAGUACUUUCAUUGUUAUUAGUUUCUUCUAUGUUAUCUUUUGAUAUACUACCGAUUCUGUAAUUACUGUAUACUAAUUUAAGACUAACAAAUUCAUUGUAAAAUUAAUCUGUAUUUAAGAAUAAGAAAUUGAAUUGCAAAUUUUUAAAAAUUACAAUUAUAUCUUUGCACUAAUUACCUUUCUAUUGUUUCUAAGCGUAUAUUGAUUUCGUUUAUUGCAUUAUAGAUAGAUUUUAAAUACUCUUCUUCUUUUUGUGAACUGCAUGUGCAAAAAACGUAUUUAAAAAAGUUGACAAAUGAAGAAUUUUUCCAAUUAUUUUUGAAUUUUUCAUUAGAUUGCAACUUAUUAGCUUCUUCUGAUGCCUGUAACAAUAAAAUUAUAAUAUAUGAGUUAUUUAAUGAACAAUUAUGCAAAUAAGAUUUACACAAUACUUUUUAAAUUUUUUUUCAUGUUUAAGUAGCAUGGUUUUAUGAGAACAUACCUUUGUCUGUUGCUUAGAUUCUCUAGUACCCCAUGUAACAUUAUGUACAUUAAAAAUAGAGUAAAUAAUAAGCAACAUGUACAUUGAUGGUACUGUGAUAUAAUAAAUGAUUCCAAAAUUCAAGCAUGAUAUUUCGUGUGGAUGCAUAAAACCUGUUAGCGCAAAUUGGGCAAGUACAAUAUAAAAAAGAAGAAUGUUGGGUGCAAAAGAUCCUUCGGCUGCUAUUUGUAGUAGUAUUCCAACCAAUACAAUUAUCAUUACUAAAGCAUAUAUAACAGAAAUAAACUCAGCUACAAUAAGCUGAAAAAUAACUAGAUAUUAUUAUUAUUAUUAUUAUUAUUAUUCCACAGAAAGUUUUCAUUUUAGAUUGAUUAUACAUUUUAUACAUUAUAUAUGUAUAUAUUGAAUAAUUAUAAUAUAUUAUAUAUAAUAUAUUUAUAUAUUUUUUUAACCAGUUGAACAUAUGUUGCAUGUUAUAACAAUUAUUCAAACAAUUACCUGAAUAUGAUCUUGACAGAAGAAACAAAUUACUAUGAACACAAGUAGUGGAAUUAAGUUAUACCAAAAACUUGACCAAUUAUCUAUUUGAAAAGCAGCAACAAAUGCACCAGCCAUCAUUAAAUAGAUGAAAGAUGGUCCAAUAAUAGUACUACCUGUAAAAUAACGAUUGUUGUUCAGAUUUAUACAUUGAAUGUAGUUAUUCUUAUAUCUUUUUAAAGAUUACAUAUUAUUUCUUAUUAAGUAUUUCUAGAGUUACCUGUUAAUAUCCAUUGAUAUGCAAUAUAAAGCCAUGAAAUAUUAUUGUUUAAUUUUCUUGUCUCUUUAGCUGUAUUCAAUAAAUCAAAUAUGUUAGCCAUAGUUGAUGAAAUCCAUCUACGACGUUGAAUAUAAAAUUCUUUAAAUGUUUCUGGGGCAUGUGUAUAAGCGUCACCAGCUGCACAGUAUUCUACCUAAAUAAACAAAACCAAGGUUAAAUAUUAAAGUAUUUACAUCGAUUAAUAGCUAAAAAAAUUCAGUAAAUAAUAAUAAAUUCAUAAUAUUUUAAUUUAUUGUAACAUAGUUCUUACCCUACAACCAGCUUGUAAGAGCAAUGUACAAAGCCAACGGUCUUCUCCUUGAUCAUACUGAAUAUAAUGUUUGGGUUCAGUUGAUUUAGUUGCAUAUUUUGCUAUGACAUUAUGCUGCAUUAAAGCUUUUGCUCUGAAAAGAGAAAAGCAACCAGGACUACAAAGUACCGAGCCUAUAGUAUGUUCUGUCGAUUUUUGAAGCCAAUGACCUAUGGCAUAUUCAAACUUUUGAAACCAAAUCAUUGGACCUAUAUCGAAAUAGUUUAUUUUAUUAAUAUGUAAUGAUUAGUAACUGCAUAAUUGAAAGAUAUUACAUAUACUAUAGUUUCGUGUACUAUAUAGUACAUGUUAGAUACCUUUUCCUACUGGAUGUAUUCGUCCACAAACUGCGCCUAAUUCCUUAUCUUUCCUCAUUAAGUCAAUUAAUGCUUUCACAGAUGUUGGUCGAAAGUCAAUAUCACCAUCUAACGUUAAAAUGUAAGUAUUUUGUGUUAAUAAUUCUUUACGAUCCAUAUCAAUUGGUAAUCCCAUUAAGCGAAAACCAAGAAGGUAAUACAUGUACAUGACCUACAAUUUUCCAAUAUUAGCUUAGAAUUAAGAAUUGUUAUCAGGAGUUCAAAUGUCAUUAAAAUUUCAUUAAAUUUAUAUGAAUUGAUUUGUUUUACUGUUUGUUGCUAGUAAUAUUGAAUGUACCUGGCUCCAUCUUUUUCUGUGCCUAAUUUUAUUUUUAUCUUUAAGGUGUACUGUUAAACAUGUUUUUCCAGGUAAAGUCCAAAUUAGCUGACCACCAUAGGGUGUUGGAUAUUUAGUUGGAGGUAAUGAAGCUAUACCUAGAUUUUUUACAGCUUCUUGCAUAGUUUCCAAAAAUGUCACUACAUAUUGAUUUAUUUGUGUUUCACUUUCAAGAUGAUUACAUGAUUCAGUACAACCAUGUAUACAGCAAAAGGCAUCAUCAAAAAAUAUAUGUGCUAAAUAAAAAAAGUACCUCAAGCUGCGUGGUCAAAUCGAAAAGCUCUUCUUCUUCAGUGGUAUUGAGCAAGUUUUUCUUUUUGAUCGAACCACACAUGUAUUGUAAUCCAAAUUUGUGAUAACCACCAUAUUAUCCAACACCACACACGCCAGCUUAGAAUAAAAUCUUUUAUAUUAUUGUAUAUGGGUUCAUUGAAAAAUAGAUAAUCUGGUAUUAUGUUAUCAAAAAUAUAUGAAUCCUCAUUUUUCAUAACACAAAACAUUACCAUUAAACCUAUUGACCCUGGAGUAAUUAAGCUUAAUGGAAGAGCAACACUACACUUAUGCAUCUGUGUUUUAUAUGCAAAUAUUGCUAUAAUGAAAUUAUAGAUUUUAAAAAUUUAUAAUAUACUCUUUGUUUGCAUCAUACGAUUAUAAUAAAGUCUUGUACUCACUUGCUUUAUAUGCGAAGAAACUGCAGAAAAUCUGGAUCAAAAAAAUAUAUAAAGGUGCUGAUGUGUCUACAAUAGGAUUAAAAUUAUCUUGCUGAAAUUCGUUGUAUUCCAAAUUGUAAUUUGUUAUUAGUUCAUUCACAGAAACAGAGGAGUUUAAAAAUUGAACUAAUUUCACAUUAUAAUGAUUCAUGAAUAGACAUUUAAAAAACUCUUGAAACUGAAUUCCUUUAAAAAUUGAAAUUACAGAGGCACUCAAAAUAAAGAUCAAACAUCUCCAAAAUGCUAUGUAUCCUUGUAAUAAAUGUUGGUUAUUUGUCAAAUCCGCUUUUACUGCUGCUAAAAAUCUUAUAAAACCUGUUCACAAAAUAGUGAAUUAUUAUAAUUAGAUUUAUCAAUCUAUUUAUUUUGAAUACAUGCAGUACUAAAAACAUUAAGGAUUACAAAAUUAUUACCCCAGUAACUAUGGUCAGAAAUAUAAUUGAUCCACCAUCGACAAGAAGAUAAUAAAAGUGAUAGUGGAAGAAUCCAUAUUAUGGCAUCAUGCGCAUCAUAGUACAGAAAGUAAUGUAUAAUUAAUCCAGAUCCUUGAGCAAUAAAUGCUAAAAUGUUGCAUAAUAGGCAUAAUAUAAAUAUUUUAAUUCCUGAAUACUUUCGAUUUUGAGAGAGUAAAUCUGUAAUAAAAAUCAGAAUAUCUUUUAGAACAAUUUAAAUUAAAUGAAUAACUUUUCUUCGUUCACCAAGCUUAUUACAAAAAUCUUACUUAUUAGAACAGGAAUAAAAGAUAUACAACUACAUAAUGCUGCAGCUUCUAUGGAAUUGAUCUUUGGAAGGCUGUAAAAAACUAAAAGUGCUAAACCAAUUGGAUGAAGAGUUUCCAAAAUAAAAAGUACUACCAGACUUCCUUUUUUGGGCAUUUUUUCUUUCUUUUUGAAAAUGUUAUGCCAUAUAGAUUGUAAAAUACUAAAACAUUCUGGUACAAGAAACAUAAAGAUGAUGUACCAUGUCCAAAUUAUUCUACCUUCUUUGGAAAUUUUUGCAUUUAUAUUUCCUGCAGCACCUGAGAUAUCAAUAAUCAUUAUAUAUUGUUUCAUGAAAUAUAAAUCAUAUUAAAAUAAGCAAGUAAUUAGAAAAAUUAUUAUAUGAAUAAUAUUUAAAAGAUACCUGAGUAAUCAUAGAAAUUUACAGAAUGUUCUUCAUCAAGCUGUGAGACUGCAAAAAGAACUGCACUUUUGGCAAUUAAAAUACAGCAGAAUACAAUGCAGAAAAUAAUACCAUACAUAAAAAAUUUAAUAAUACGCAAAACAAAAGAACCCAACCAUUUAUUAUUCUGCAUUGAUUCACUUUCUUUUUUUAAUGGGAAAUGUUUAAAUACAUCCCAUGAUAAGAUAUUUUGUUCGAUCCUGAAAUUAAUAUAAA